ACCUUGCUAUUAGAUGCAGUUUUAGCAUGUUGAAGUACUGUACAAUGCUGCUGUCUGCCAGUAAACAGCCCCAUACACACACACUUUAUACCAGGGAUGGCUGCAAUAUGACUUGAGAGUCUGGGCACUGAGAGCAAGAAGUCUCAUUUGCAGUCACUAGUGCUACUCUAUGUAACUGUAACAACAGUAACAAAACCCUGUCAGUGCUGAAACUUUGUAAAGCAGUCAGAUAUAAGAUGUUUGAAUGCAGACAGAAAAGAACGUCUGUCCUGGGGACUCCAGAAUUAAUACUGUGCCAUAAUAUAACAUGGUGUGUUCAUGCAGC